UCUCCGUUGGUGAACCAGCGGAGGGAUCAUUACCGAGUUUACCCAAAACUCCCAAACCCAGUGUGAACCUUACCAGUACGUUGCUUCGGCGGGAACGCCCCGGGAGCCCAGCGCUGCCCGGAACCAGGCGCCCGCCGGAGGCCCCCCCCCAAACUCCGGCGUCUUACAGGCAUGUCUUCUGAGUUACGGCACCGCCCCAGCGGCGCGUGAAAAAAACAAAAACGAAUCAAAACUUUCAACAACGGAUCUCUUGGUUCUGGCAUCGAUGAAGAACGCAGCGAAAUGCGAUAAGUAAUGUGAAUUGCAGAAUUCAGUGAAUCAUCGAAUCUUUGAACGCACAUUGCGCCCGCCAGUAUUCUGGCGGGCAUGCCUGUCCGAGCGUCAUUUCAACCCUCGAGCCCCCCCGGGGGCUCGGCGUUGGGGACCGGCCCCGCUGCAACCCAGCGGGCGCCGCCCCCCAAAUGCAGUGGCGGUCCCGCCGCAGCCUCCCCUGCGUAGUAGAACCUGCGUCGCACCGGAGAGCGGCGAGGCCACGCCGUAAAACCCCCCACCUCCAGAAAGGUUGACCUCGGAUCAGGUAGGAAUACCCGCUGAACUUAA
rnacentral:misc_RNA from 1 species